rnacentral:rRNA from 1 species
UACGUAGGUGGCAAGCGUUGUCCGGAAUUAUUGGGCGUAAAGCGCGCGCAGGCGGUCCUUCAAGUCUGAUGUGAAAGCCCACGGCUCAACCGUGGAGGGUCAUUGGAAACUGGGGGACUUGAGUACAGAAGAGAAGAGUGGAAUUCCACGUGUAGCGGUGAAAUGCGUAGAGAUGUGGAGGAACACCAGUGGCGAAGGCGACUCUUUGGUCUGUAACUGACGCUGAGGCGCGAAAGCGUGGGGAGCAAACAGG